rnacentral:rRNA from 1 species
GACGAACGCUGGCGGCGUGCUUAACACAUGCAAGUCGAACGGAAAGGCCCUGCUUUUGUGGGGUGCUCGAGUGGCGAACGGGUGAGUAACACGUGAGUAACCUGCCCUUGACUUUGGGAUAACUUCAGGAAACUGGGGCUAAUACCGGAUAGGAGCUCCUGCUGCCUGGUGGGGGUUGGAAAGUUUCGGCGGUUGGGGAUGGACUCGCGGCUUAUCAGCUUGUUGGUGGGGUUGUGGCUUACCAAGGCUUUGACGGGUAGCCGGCCUGAGAGGGUGACCGGCCACAUUGGGACUGAGAUACGGCCCAGACUCCUACGGGAGGCAGCAGUGGGGAAUAUUGCACAAUGGGCGGAAGCCUGAUGCAGCAACGCCGCGUGCGGGAUGACGGCCUUCGGGUUGUAAACCGCUUUCGCCUGUGACGAAGCGUGAGUGACGGUAAUGGGUAAAGAAGCACCGGCUAACUACGUG